rnacentral:rRNA from 1 species
GUGAGGAAUUUUCCGCAAUGGGCGAAAGCCUGACGGAGCAAUGCCGCGUGAAGGAUGAAGGCCUAUGGGUUGUAAACUUCUUUUCUCAGAAAAGAAUUAUGACGGUAUCUGAGGAAUAAGCAUCGGCUAACUCUGUGCCAGCAGCCGCGGUAAGACAGAGGAUGCAAGCGUUAUCCGGAAUGAUUGGGCGUAAAGCGUCUGUAGGUUGUUUAAAAAGUAUUCUGUCAAAGAUUAGGGCUUAACCCUAGAUAGGCAGAAUAAACUUUUAAGCUAGAGUUUGGUAGAGGCAGAGGGAAUUCCCGGUGGAGCGGUGAAAUGCAUAGAUAUCGGGAGGAACACCAAAGGCGAAGGCACUCUGCUGGGCCAAUACUAACACUGAGAGACGAAAGCGAGGGGAGCAAAUGGGAUUAGAAACCCGAGUAGUCC